AGCCACAAAUUUGGCCCGUCACUGCUACACGGUAAAGCCACAAAUUUGGCCCGUCACUGCUACACGGUAAAGCCACAAAUUUGGCCCAUCACUGCUACACGGUAAAGCCACAAAUUUGGCCCGUCACUGCUACCGGGUUAAAGCUUUGCACACUUCUCACAGAUACUACAUCUUCAUUUAGUCUGUUCCAAAACUCUAUACUUCUUUGCGGGAAGCUAUAUUUCUUUGUCUCUCAAGCAUCUUCCCUUCCUCAAUUAUUUACUGUGUCCUCGUGUGUUCCUGGUGGUAAGUUCUUCUUUUAUUGGUAACGCCUCGUCGUCUACUUCUUCAGUUUUGCGCAAUAAUUUGUAGAUUUGUGUGUGUGCGUGUGUGUGUGUGUAUGGGAUGACCUCUAAAGCAUAAAAUAACUCACCAUUCACAGAAGACAAUGAAGAAGACAACAAAGAAGAAAAAGAAGAAGAAGAAGAAACGACAGAAUCUAACCUCACCUUACCUUACCUGUCCUUACCUUACCUUAGGAGAAUAUCAGGCCUCAAGCUCGUUAAGGUAAAUUCAGGUCGUUACCCCACGUAGGCAGAUGUAAAGUAGGCCUAGUUUUGCUUUUUAUGUGCUCUUGUAUUGUAGAAAGUUGUAGCAAUUGUUGUAAAGUAAGGUAUUGUAGUUUGUAAUGUAUUGUAGGUACUGUAUUGUAGAAUGUAUCUGUUGUAGAAAUCUGUUGUUUGUAAUGUAUUGUAGAAUGUAUUUGUAUUGUAGAAAUCUGUUCUUUGUAAUGUAUUGUAGAAUGUAUCUGUAUUGUAGAAAUCUGUUGUCUGUAAUGUAUUGUAGAGAGUGUAUUGUAGAAUGUAUUUGUAUUGUAGAAAUCUGUUGUCUGUAAUGUAUUGUAGAGAGUGUAUUGUAGAAUGUAUCUGUAUUGUAGAAAUCUGUUGUUUGUAAUGUAUUGUAGAAUGUAUUUGUAUUGCAGAAAUCUGUUGUUUGUAAUGUAUUGUAGAAUGUAUUUGUAUUGUAGAAAUCUGUUGUCUGUAAUGUAUUGUAGGUAGUGUAUUGUAGAAUGUAUUUGUAUUGUAGAAAUCUGUUGUCUGAAAUGUAUUGUAGAGAGUGUAUUGUAGAAUGUAUCUGUAUUGUAGAAAUCUGUUAAUGUAAUAUGUAAUGUAUUGUAGGUAGUGUAUUGUAGUAUUUGUAUUGUAGAAAUCUAAGUCCAUUGGUUUGUAAAUUCCCACAGCUUGGAUUCAUGUCAACAGGUAAUCCCAGUUAUCCAAAAAAUUAUAGGUCUUCUGAAUCAUGGUUUUAAAAUACAAUAAUUCUGUAAGGAGGGAAAUUACAAGACCACGAAACAGCAGAAUUCAGUAAGUCCAAGGAAAUGCAAUGAAAAAUGAAGUUAUGUAUACAAUGAAAGAAUGCAAAGGAAGGAAGGAAGGAAGGAGGAAGGUGAUGUUUGGGCUGAAAUAACAUAACUUUUUGUGUAGUUUUGAGCGUAAAGAAAAUUAAGUUAUGUCCAAAUUUAAAAUAACCCAAAAGACCUACAGUAAAAUAAGUUACCUAUAUGAAAAUGAAGUUAUGUAUACAAUGAAAGAAAGAAUGCAAAGGAAAGAAGGAAGGAAGGAUGUGAUGUUUGGGCUGAAAUAACAUAACUUUUUGUCUCUAGUUUUGAGCGUAAAGAAAAUUAAGUUAUGUCCAAAUUUAAAAUAACCCAAAAGACCUACAGUUAAAUAAGUUACCCAUAUUAAAAUGAAGUUAUGUCCAUAUUUAAAG